UGGGGAAUAUUGGACAAUGGGCGAAAGCCUGAUCCAGCCAUGCCGCGUGUGUGAAGAAGGUCUUCGGAUUGUAAAGCACUUUAAGUUGGGAGGAAGGGCAGUAAGCGAAUACCUUGCUGUUUUGACGUUACCGACAGAAUAAGCACCGGCUAACUCUGUGCCAGCAGCCGCGGUAAUACAGAGGGUGCAAGCGUUAAUCGGAAUUACUGGGCGUAAAGCGCGCGUAGGUGGUUCGUUAAGUUGAAAGUGAAAGCCCCGGGCUCAACCUGGGAACUGCAUCCAAAACUGGCGAGCUAGAGUAGGGCAGAGGGUGGUGGAAUUUCCUGUGUAGCGGUGAAAAGCGUAGAUAUAGGAAGGAACACCAGUGGCGAAGGCGACCACCUGGGCUCAUACUGACACUGAGGUGCGAAAGCGUGGGGAGCAAACAGG
rnacentral:rRNA from 1 species